ensembl:piRNA 21ur-4728 ncRNA
UGGGCAAAAGUUAGGCAGGCA